CCCUGAAGAGGUGGGUAUGACAAAAUAAGACAAGAAGACCCUAUGGAGCUUCAAUUAAUUAAAAACAAAAAAAACAAAGCACAAUCCUA